CCUGCCUGUCUGGGCAUGCUGUGAAGCUGAGUGGGAGAGGUUCCUCUUUCAGCUUUGGUGCCUCCGUAGCCUUCCUCUCUCCCUCUGUGUUGAUGCUUGAGGGCACUUAACGAACCUGAGGAUAUGACCCAGGCACUAAGACCUGCAUAAGGGCACCGAGAAGCUGGGUAGUGAGCUGGUUUUCUUCCACCGCUUAAAUAUCUAGGGAGGAAAAAGCUUUCACCUUGCUGAGAUGCAUUUCUUGUUUGAAUGAUAACCCAGGAAUUUCUUGGCUUCUUAGUGUUACAAGUUCUGCCUCUGUAAACACAGUGAAGGGCAGCAAUAGCUGGAAGCUUUCAGGUGUGCUUUUCCAGCCAGCUCUGUGGCCUGAGGAGCUGUUUCUGUUCUCUCCUUGCAUCAUGCAUCCAAUGAAUUCCCAGGGUCUCCAAUUGCUUCUAACAGAAAGCCAGACAAAGCUGCAAUGCCACGCAAGCACUGGCAGCCAGCUUCCUCUGAAAGCAUCUGAUUUCACCACGGCCUUCCAGUGGCACUACACACAUGAAUAUGCAAUGGAUUUGAACACAGAGCUUGAAUUUCUUCCCUGCAGCAGCAGUAGGGCUGCAAACCAUUCUGUGGAGCUCGAGCAGGGCGGCAAUGAAUGCUGCAUGCUGCUCUGCAGUAACCCCUUGGACCCAUCUGGAGGUGGUUUGGGCUGGUGGGAGGCAGGGAAAGCUCUGAAAUGCGAAGGUGAGAAGCCGUAUGCAACUCCUGAAUUCCAGCAUUCUCUGCUGGCUUCUAAAAGUCACUGGUGA
rnacentral:lncRNA from 1 species